rnacentral:rRNA from 1 species
AGAGUUUGAUCAUGGCUCAGAACGAACGCUGGCGGCAGGCUUAACACAUGCAAGUCGAACGCACUCUUCGGAGUGAGUGGCAGACGGGUGAGUAACGCGUGGGAACCUACCCAUUGGUUCGGAAUAACCCAGGGAAACUUGGGCUAAUACCGGAUACGUCGGCAACGAGAAAGAUUUAUCGCCGAUGGAUGGGCCCGCGUCGGAUUAGCUAGUUGGUGGGGUAACGGCCUACCAAGGCGACGAUCCGUAGCUGGUCUGAGAGGAUGAUCAGCCACACUGGGACUGAGACACGGCCCAGACUCCUACGGGAGGCAGCAGUGGGGAAUAUUGGACAAUGGGCGCAAGCCUGAUCCAGCCAUGCCGCGUGAGUGAAGAAGGCCUUAGGGUUGUAAAGCUCUUUCAGCGGGGAAGAUAAUGACGGUACCCGCAGAAGAAGCCCCGGCUAACUUCGUGCCAGCAGCCGCGGUAAUACGAAGGGGGCUAGCGUUGUUCGGAAUUACUGGGCGUAAAGCGCGCGUAGGCGGAUUGGCCAGUCAGGGGUGAAAUGCCAGGGCUUAACCUUGGAACUGCCUUUGAUACUGCCAGUCUGGAGUACGGGAGAGGUGAGUGGAAUUCCGAGUGUAGAGGUGAAAUUCGUAGAUAUUCGGAGGAACACCAGAAGCGAAGGCGGCUCACUGGCCCGAUACUGACGCUGAGGCGCGAAAGCGUGGGGAGCAAACAGGAUUAGAUACCCUAGUAGUCC